GGGGCGCAUUUAUUAGAUAAAAGGCUGACGUGGGCUCUGCUCGCUGAUCCGAUGAUUCAUGAUAACUCGACGGAUCGCAUGGCCUUUGUGCCGGCGACGCAUCAUUCAAAUUCUUGCCCUAUCAACUUUCGAUGGUAGGAUAGGGGCCUACCAUGGUGGUGACGGGUGACGGAGAAUUAGGGUUCGAUUCCGGAGAGGGAGCCUGAGAAACGGCUACCACAUCCAAGGAAGGCAGCAGG
rnacentral:ncRNA from 1 species